rnacentral:rRNA from 1 species
GACGAACGCUGGCGGCGUGCUUAACACAUGCAAGUCGAGCGGUAAGGCCCUUUCGGGGGUACACGAGCGGCGAACGGGUGAGUAACACGUGGGUGACCUGCCCUCAGCUCUGGGAUAAGCCUGGGAAACCGGGUCUAAUACCGGAUAUGACUCCAUGACGCAUGUUGUGGGGUGGAAAGCCUUGUGCGGCUGAGGAUGGGCCCGCGGCCUAUCAGCUUGUUGGNGGGGUGANGGCCUACCAAGGCGACGACGGGUAGCCGGCCUGAGAGGGCGACCGGCCACACUGGGACUGAGACACGGCCCAGACUCCUACGGGAGGCAGCAGUGGGGAAUCCUUGCGCAAUGGGCGAAAGCCUGACGCAGCGACGCCGCG